UUGCAUUCCAGAUAGUAAUUAAGAUAGAGUAGUGACUAUUCUUGUACAUAGGAAAAUUAUUUCAUGUUAGGAUUGUUGAUUGAGACAACAUGCAUUAAUUCUGUCUUUCAUGUGUUUUUCUAUUUCUCCAGUGUUAUGACUCUUAGUUAAAACACAUAUUCCAUUAAAUUUUUGAUUUGACUCUAUCUUAUUAUCCUUAUUCCUUAAUGCUGUACAGAUAGGAGCUAUUAAUAUUUAAUUUGUUCACCUUCUGUUCAUGUAAUAUAAAUCAUAUUGAACUUUUUUUUUUUUUUUUUGCAGUUAAUUGAGUAAACUAUUUCAACAGCUACAAAUUUUAUUUCAUUUUCCACAAAUGACAUCAUCAAUAAUUUGCCUCUUCCAUUUCUAUUUUGAAUCCCAGCUAGCUUAAUUUCAUUACCUUUUUUCCCUCUCCAAGCCAAAAUAUAUGACCUUAAUAGAUUAUUAAUACAAAAUUAUGCAUACUUAUUGGCAGGGGAUAGUCUUGGUUUUACAUGUUAUCUGUUUAAGUUUUUAUCAGUGGAAGAAAUCACUUUUCUGAAAAGUGUCUUCAUCAACAUCUCCUGGCCUACCAUUCCUUGUUCAUGCACAACAUGUAAGUGAAUGAAAGCACUAUUUGUCUUUAUGUUCAUAUUUCCAUCAAGUUAAUUUCUAUUAACAACUUAAUACUACUUAUUCUAUCUUGAUUCAUAUUUUCCCUUCAAAGAAUUAAGGAAAAAACUAUAAAGAAAAAAAAAAUGUUGCCUUAAAGUUACUGGUCAUGAAUGUGCAUAGUAAUGGUGGAAUAGUUUCGCAUAAAAUCUGAUAAACUUGUGGGUGGCAGGUGAAUUCAUCCCACACCUGGCUCUGAACUUGGAGAGCUUUCAUUGCAUCACCAUGAUGGAAGCCGUUAACAACGGCAAGGAUCUUCACAUCUCCGUCACCAUGCCUUCCAUUGAGGUGAGGACAGUUUCAAGGGAGCAAGUAAGAGCACUAGGAAAAGCUGCUGAUGAUGUAAGUUGCAAUGGUUCACUUUGAAUAGUUUCUCCAUGCAAACUACAUUUUCAGAGGCAACUUAAAGAAGUGUUUUAAAGAGUUUGAAGUUGAAGCUAGAAAAAAGAAAGUUUGAAGAUGGGGUCAUGGUUGUGCUUUCUGAAUUUCCUUAACCGAUGUGAAAACUUCUAAUACAUUUUGAUGGGUUCUUUUGAGGAAACUUGUGGUUGUGUUCACUACUUUUGUGAAAAAUUAUUUUCAUUGUGUAUACUUCCUUUGUAAAAACUUGGUGUUCAGUACAGUAUUAUCUAUUAGUAGACAUGCAAUUUGGAUGGUAUUUUCAUAUUUGCAAA